rnacentral:rRNA from 1 species
UACGAAGGGGGCUAGCGUUGUUCGGAAUUACUGGGCGUAAAGGGCGCGUAGGCGGCCUUCUAAGUCGAACGUGAAAUCCCCGGGCUCAACCCGGGAACUGCGUCCGAGACUGGAAGGCUCGAAUCCGGGAGAGGGAUGUGGAAUUCCAGGUGUAGCGGUGAAAUGCGUAGAUAUCUGGAGGAACAUCGGUGGCGAAGGCGGCAUCCUGGACCGGUAUUGACGCUGAGGCGCGAAAGCCAGGGGAGCAAACGGG